rnacentral:rRNA from 1 species
AGUGAACGCUGGCGGUAGGCCUAACACAUGCAAGUCGAACGGCAGCACAGUAAGAGCUUGCUCUUACGGGUGGCGAGUGGCGGGCGGGUGAGGAAUACAUCGGCAUCUACUUUUUCGUGGGGGAUAACGUAGGGAAACUUACGCUAAUACCGCAUACGACCUACGGGUGAAAGCAGGGGAUCUUCGGACCUUGCGCGAUUGAAUGAGCCGAUGUCGGAUUAGCUAGUUGGCGGGGUAAAGGCCCACCAAGGCGACGAUCCGUAGCUGGUCUGAGAGGAUGAUCAGCCACACUGGAACUGAGACACGGUCCAGACUCCUACGGGAGGCAGCAGUGGGGAAUAUUGGACAAUGGGCGCAAGCCUGAUCCAGCCAUACCGCGUGGGUGAAGAAGGCCUUCGGGUUGUAAAGCCCUUUUGUUGGGAAAGAAAAGCAGCAGGUUAAUACCCCGCUGUUCUGACGGUACCCAAAGAAUAAGCACCGGCUAACUUCGUG